rnacentral:snRNA from 1 species
GUGCUCGCUUCAGCGGCACACGUGCUAAAAUUGGCAUGAUACAGAGAUUAGUAUGGCUCCUGCGCAAGGAGGACAUGCAAACAACUGGCACAGCCCUGCUGUUG